UCAGAAGUUGUUGGAAAUUUGUUGUGUUGAAAUUAUAAGGAGUCUUUGGAUGACGUUGUGCUUUUUUUUAUUGAUCGAAAUAGUGAAUUCAUUGCAUCUUUGUUUCACAUCCAUUUUAGAUCCAUUUUAGAAUGUUAAUUUCUUCGGAAAAUUUCACCAAUAAUAAAACCAAAAGAAGCUUCUGAUCAUGACAAAAUUGGACUGUUUCCAAUGAGUAGAGGAUAGCGAGGUGGGAGUUAUCAGAGUGAACAGUUUCCCUGUGAAUGCAGAACAAGGUCUACUCACAGAAACUACCGUCUGACAAAACUGUAAAAAUACGGGCAAUCUGAAAGUAAUAAAUCACCAAGUCUAGAUUUGACAAGCACCAAAAAUCCAACAAUGCACUGUUAUUGGAUGGACUAAACUGGAAAACAUUGUGGAUUUUUCUGCAGUUGGGCUAAAGUUUGUUGGUUAGAAGGGAAAAUAGCUUCCAGUUGAAAGGGCUGUUUGAUAUUACUACCUGACCGUGGCAAAAUUCUGUUACAAGCCGAUAAGACCAGAGCUGUGGCUAGGUUCUGGCGCGUGAUUUCUUUCAAUUUGCUAAUUCGUUUUGUAAGCAAUUUGUUUCUAUGCUUAGUCUUGUAAUAUCUCCUCUGUACGAUUGGAUAAAUUCCUGACUUGAGUGAUUUGGAUAAUAG
rnacentral:lncRNA from 1 species